AUUGAACGCUGGCGGCAUGCCUUACACAUGCAAGUCGAACGGCAGCACGGGAGCUUGCUUCUGGUGGCGAGUGGCGAACGGGUGAGUAAUACAUCGGAACGUACCCAGUAGUGGGGGAUAACGCACCGAAAGGUGCGCUAAUACCGCAUACGACCUAAGGGUGAAAGCGGGGGACCGCAAGGCCUCGCGCUAUUGGAGCGGCCGAUGUCUGAUUAGCUAGUUGGCGGGGUAAAGGCCCACCAAGGCGACGGUCAGUAGCUGGUCUGAGAGGACCAUCAGCCACACUGGGACUGAGACACGGCCCAGACUCCUACGGGAGGCAGCAGUGGGGAAUUUUGGACAAUGGGGGCAACCCUGAUCCAGCAAUGCCGCGUGUGCGAAGAAGGCCUUCGGGUUGUAAAGCACUUUUGUCAGGGAAGAAAUCUUUCAGGCUAAUACCCUUGGAAGGAUGACGGUACCUGAAGAAUAAGCACCGGCUAACUACGUGCCAGCCGCCGCGGUAA
rnacentral:rRNA from 1 species